UACGAAGGGGGCUAGCGUUGCUCGGAAUGACUGGGCGUAAAGGGCGCGUAGGCGGUUCAUACAGUCAGAUGUGAAAUUCCCGGGCUUAACCUGGGGGCUGCAUUUGAUACGUGUGGGCUUGAGUGAGGAAGAGGGUUGUGGAAUUCCCAGUGUAGAGGUGAAAUUCGUAGAUAUUGGGAAGAACACCGGUGGCGAAGGCGGCUCACUGGCUCGUAUCUGACGCUCAGGCGCGACAGCGUGGGGAUCAAACAGG
rnacentral:rRNA from 1 species